rnacentral:rRNA from 1 species
UUGACCUCGGAUCAGGUAGGGAUACCCGCUGAACUUAAGCAUAUCAAUAAGCGGAGGAAAAGAAACCAACCGGGAUUGCCUCAGUAACGGCGAGUGAAGCGGCAAGAGCUCAAAUUUGAAAUCUGGCCCCCUCCGGGGUCCGAGUUGUAAUUUGCAGAGGAUGCUUUGGGUGCGGCCCCCGUCUAAGUGCCCUGGAACGGGCCGUCAUAGAGGGUGAGAAUCCCGUCUGGGACGGGGUGUCCGUGCCCGUGUAAAGCUCCUUCGACGAGUCGAGUUGUUUGGGAAUGCAGCUCUAAAUGGGUGGUAAAUUUCAUCUAAAGCUAAAUACUGGCCGGAGACCGAUAGCGCACAAGUAGAGUGAUCGAAAGAUGAAAAGCACUUUGAAAAGAGAGUUAAACAGCACGUGAAAUUGUUGAAAGGGAAGCGCUUGCGACCAGACUCGCCUACGGGGUUCAGCCGGCAUUCGUGCCGGUGUACUUCCCCGUGGGCGGGCCAGCGUCGGUUUGGGCGGUCGGUCAAAGGCCUCCGGAAUGUAUCACCCCCCGGGGUGUCUUAUAGCCGGAGGUGCAAUGCGGCCAGCCUAGACCGAGGAACGCGCUCGGCUCGACG